UAUGUGAUCGUCUCUCGCAUAUCAAUAAGCGGAGGAAAAGAAACUAACAAGGAUUCCCCUAGUAACGGCGAGUGAAGCGGGAAGAGCUCAAAUUUGAAAUCUUAAAGGGUUUCCCUUUACGAAUUGUAGUUUAAAGAAGUGUUUUCUGUUGAGGUUUUGGUAAAAGUUCUUUGGAAUAGGACAUCAUAGAGGGUGAGAAUCCCGUAUUUGACCUUUACUUUCAACUUUGUGAUACACUUUCAAAGAGUCGGAUUGUUUGGGAAUGCAGUCCAAAAUGGGUGGUAAAUUUCAUCUAAAGCUAAAUAUUGGCGAGAGACCGAUAGCGAACAAGUACCGUGAGGGAAAGAUGAAAAGAACUUUGAAAAGAGAGUUAAACAGUACGUGAAAUUGUCAAAAGGGAAGCGUUUGACACCAGUGUUGUUUUUCUGAAAAUCAAUUAAAGAAUUGUUUAUGCUAAGUUGUUUAGACUUUAUCAGCUAUCUGUUUAGUUUUGAGCUUUUCUUUAAUGCACUUUUCAGUUAACAAGUCAACAUCAAUUUCUUUUGCUGUAAAAAAGCUUGAGGAAGGUGGCUUGAGAUUCGUCUUAAGUGUUUAUAGCCUCUUGCCUAUGCAGUCGGAGAGAUUGAGGUCUGCAGCGUAGAUCCUUCGGGGCUAAAUGCAUUUGUGCUAAGUUAUAACAUUUUAUAGACAACUUGUUGACUAUGAUUUGUCUUGUAGCUUACUCGCUUAUGUUAUUUUACCUACGCUUAGGAUGUUGAAGUCAUCGUAUCGCGC
rnacentral:rRNA from 1 species